AAUAAGCGCAGCCAUGAGUUUCUGUGUCCAACUUUGAUCAUCCGUCUUAUUUAAUUUUUUUAAAAAAAAGCUAAAAACAUAAGUCAUGCAUAACUAAUCAUAAAAAAAAUUCAAUUAAGACGGACGAUCAAAGUUGGACACGAAAACUCAUGAAUGGACUUAUU
rfam:Oryza sativa Japonica Group DNA, chromosome 6, cultivar: Nipponbare, complete sequence.